UACAGAGGUCUCAAGCGUUGUUCGGAAUUACUGGGCGUAAAGCGAGCGUAGGUUGCUCGGCAAGUCAGUGGUGAAAUCCCAGAGCUUAACUUUGGAACUGCCAUUGAAACUGCCGAGCUGGAAUCUCAGAGGGGAUAGCGGAAUUCCAAAUGUAGGGGUGAAAUCCGUAGAUAUUUGGAGGAACACCGGUGGCGAAGGCGGCGUUCUGGACUGCAACUGACACUGAUAAACGAAAGCCAGGGUAGCAAACGGG
rnacentral:rRNA from 1 species